rnacentral:rRNA from 1 species
CAAUAGCGUAUAUUUAAGUUGUUGCAGUUAAAAAGUUCGUAGUCGGAUUUUGGCUGAGAACGAACGGUCCGCCGUUAGGUGUGCACUGUUUGGUCUCAGCUUCCUGGUGAGGAGGUGUGCUUCACGGCCACUUAGUCACCGCGGUUACUUUGAAAAAAUUAGAGUGUUCAAAGCGGGCUUACGCUUGAAUAUAUUAGCAUGGAAUAACACCAUAGGACUCCUGUCCUAUUUCGUUGGUCUCGGGACGGGAGUAAUGAUUAAGAGGAACAGUUGGGGGCAUUCGUAUUUCAUUGUCAGAGGUGAAAUUCUUGGAUUUAUGAAAGACGAACUUCUGCGAAAGCAUUUGCCAAGGAUGUUUUCAUUG